rnacentral:rRNA from 1 species
CAGGGUGACAGCCCCGUACACAAAAAUGCACAUAUUGUGAGCUCGAUGAGUAGGGCGGGACACGUGGUAUCCUGUCUGAAUAUGGGGGGCCCAUCCUCCAAGGCUAAAUACUCCUGACUGACCGAUAGUGAACCAGUACCGUGAGGGAAAGGCGAAAAGAACCCCGGCGAGGGGAGUGAAAAAGAACCUGAAACCGUGUACGUACAAGCAGUGGGAGCACGCUUAGGCGUGUGACUGCGUACCUUUUGUAUAAUGGGUCAGCGACUUAUAUUCUGUAGCAAGGUUAACCGAAUAGGGGAGCCGAAGGGAAACCGAGUCUUAACUGGGCGUUAAGUUGCAGGGUAUAGACCCGAAACCCGGUGAUCUAGCCAUGGGCAGGUUGAAGGUUGGGUAACACUAACUGGAGGACCGAACCGACUAAUGUUGAAAAAUUAGCGGAUGACUUGUGGCUGGGGGUGAAAGGCCAAUCAAACCGGGAGAUAGCUGGUUCUCCCCGAAAGCUAUUUAGGUAGCGCCUCGUGAAUUCAUCUCCGGGGGUAGAGCACUGUUUCGGCAAGGGGGUCAUCCCGACUUACCAACCCGAUGCAAACUGCGAAUACCGGAGAAUGUUAUCACGGGAGACACACGGCGGGUGCUAACGUCCGUCGUGAAGAGGGAAACAACCCAGACCGCCAGCUAAGGUCCCAAAGUCAUGGUUAAGUGGGAAACGAUGUGGGAAGGCCCAGACAGCCAGGAUGUUGGCUUAGAAGCAGCCAUCAUUUAAAGAAAGCGUAAUAGCUCACUGGUCGAGUCGGCCUGCGCGGAAGAUGUAACGGGGCUAAACCAUGCACCGAAGCUGCGGCAGCGACGCUUAUGCGUUGUUGGGUAGGGGAGCGUUCUGUAAGCCUGCGAAGGUGUGCUGUGAGGCAUGCUGGAGGUAUCAGAAGUGCGAAUGCUGACAUAAGUAACGAUAAAGCGGGUGAAAAGCCCGCUCGCCGGAAGACCAAGGGUUCCUGUCCAACGUUAAUCGGGGCAGGGUGAGUCGACCCCUAAGGCGAGGCCGAAAGGCGUAGUCGAUGGGAAACAGGUUAAUAUUCCUGUACUUGGUGUUACUGCGAAGGGGGGACGGAGAAGGCUAUGUUGGCCGGGCGACGGUUGUCCCGGUUUAAGCGUGUAGGCUGGUUUUCCAGGCAAAUCCGGAAAAUCAAGGCUGAGGCGUGAUGACGAGGCACUACGGUGCUGAAGCAACAAAUGCCCUGCUUCCAGGAAAAGCCUCUAAGCAUCAGGUAACAUCAAAUCGUACCCCAAACCGACACAGGUGGUCAGGUAGAGAAUACCAAGGCGCUUGAGAGAACUCGGGUGAAGGAACUAGGCAAAAUGGUGCCGUAACUUCGGGAGAAGGCACGCUGAUAUGUAGGUGAAGUCCCUUGCGGAUGGAGCUGAAAUCAGUCGAAGAUACCAGCUGGCUGCAACUGUUUAUUAAAAACACAGCACUGUGCAAACACGAAAGUGGACGUAUACGGUGUGACGCCUGCCCGGUGCCGGAAGGUUAAUUGAUGGGGUCAGCGCAAGCGAAGCUCUUGAUCGAAGCCCCGGUAAACGGCGGCCGUAACUAUAACGGUCCUAAGGUAGCGAAAUUCCUUGUCGGGUAAGUUCCGACCUGCACGAAUGGCGUAAUGAUGGCCAGGCUGUCUCCACCCGAGACUCAGUGAAAUUGAACUCGCUGUGAAGAUGCAGUGUACCCGCGGCAAGACGGAAAGACCCCGUGAACCUUUACUAUAGCUUGACACUGAACAUUGAGCCUUGAUGUGUAGGAUAGGUGGGAGGCUUUGAAGUGUGGACGCCAGUCUGCAUGGAGCCGGCCUUGAAAUACCACCCUUUAAUGUUUGAUGUUCUAACGUGGACCCGUGAUCCGGGUUGCGGACAGUGUCUGGUGGGUAGUUUGACUGGGGCGGUCUCCUCCUAAAGAGUAACGGAGGAGCACGAAGGUUGGCUAAUCCUGGUCGGACAUCAGGAGGUUAGUGCAAUGGCAUAAGCCAGCUUGACUGCGAGCGUGACGGCGCGAGCAGGUGCGAAAGCAGGUCAUAGUGAUCCGGUGGUUCUGAAUGGAAGGGCCAUCGCUCAACGGAUAAAAGGUACUCCGGGGAUAACAGGCUGAUACCGCCCAAGAGUUCAUAUCGACGGCGGUGUUUGGCACCUCGAUGUCGGCUCAUCACAUCCUGGGGCUGAAGUAGGUCCCAAGGGUAUGGCUGUUCGCCAUUUAAAGUGGUACGCGAGCUGGGUUUAGAACGUCGUGAGACAGUUCGGUCCCUAUCUGCCGUGGGCGCUGGAGAACUGAGGGGGGCUGCUCCUAGUACGAGAGGACCGGAGUGGACGCAUCACUGGUGUUCGGGUUGUCAUGCCAAUGGCACUGCCCGGUAGCUAAAUGCGGAAGAGAUAAGUGCUGAAAGCAUCUAAGCACGAAACUUGCCCCGAGAUGAGUUCUCCCUGACCCUUUAAGGGUCCUGAAGGAACGUUGAAGACGACGACGUUGAUAGGCCGGGUGUGUAAGCGCAGCGAUGCGUUGAGCUAACCGGUACUAAUGAACCGUGAGGCUUAACCUUACAACGCCGAAG